AUACUAAAGUCACUUAUCCUAUUUAUUGGGUCAACCAACCUUCUCGGACUACUGCCCCACCCAUUUACACCCACCACGCAGCUCUCAAUGAAUGUGGGGGUAGCCAUCCCACUAUGAGCCGGUGCCGUGGUUCUAGGUCUCUGCAACAAAACAAAAGCAUCACUUCCUACCACAAGGCAUGCCCACCCCCCUCAACCCCAUGCUGGUAGUUAUCGAAACUAUCAGCCUAUUCAUCCAACCAGUAGCACUAGCUGUGCGACUAACGGCCAAUAUUACAGCAGGUCAUUUAUUAAUACAUCUAAUCGGAGAAACAACCUUAGCACUAAUAAGUAUCAGCAUGUUCACUGCUCUCAUUACAUUCAUUCUUCUCACCCUACUCGCUGUCCUCGAAUUCACUGUUGCUAUAAUUCAAGCCUAUGUAUCUACCCUCUUGGUAAGCUUAUAUCUGAACAACAACACAUAGUGACCCACCAAAUCCACACGUACCACAUAACAUAGUAAACCCUAGUCCUUGGCCCCUUAUGGGAGCCCUUUCAGCCCUUCUCAUAACAUCAGGCCUAAUCAUAUGAUUUCACUUCAACUCAAUAAUUCUACUAAUACUAGGCCUACUAACUAAUACUCUAACAAUAUAUCAGUGAUGACGAGAUGUUAUUCGAGAAAGCACUUUCCAAGGCCACCACACACCAACUGUCCAAAAGGGACCUCAGUACGGAAUAAUCUUUUUUUUUGUUUUUUUUUUUUGCGGUACACGGGCCUCUCACUGUUGUGGCCUCUCCUGUUGCGGAGCACAGGCUCCGGACGCGCAGGCUCAGCGGCUAUGGCUCACGGGCCCAGCCGCUCCGCGGCAUGUGGGAUCUUCCUGGACCGGGGCACGAACCCGUGUCCCCUGCAUCGGCAGGCGGACUCUCAACCACUGCGCCACCAGGGAAGCCCCGGAAUAAUCUUAUUUAUCGUCUUAGAAGUCCUCUUUUUUUACCAGCUUCUUUUGAGCCUUCUAUCACUCAAGCCUCACCCCUACACCUGAAUUAGGCAGGUGCUGGCCACCAACAGGCGUUCACCCUCGAAACCCCUUAGAGGUACUGCUUCUCAACACUUCUGUGCUAUUGGCCUCUGGCGUGUCCAUUACUUGGGCCCAUCACAGCAUUAUGGAAGGAAAUCGCAAACACAUACUUCAAGCCCUCUUUAUUACAAUUACUCUUGGUAUCUAUUUUACAAUCCUACAAGCAUCAGAGUAUUACGGUCUCAGAUGGGGUCUACAGAUCGACUUUCUUCACAGCCACAGGAUUCCACGGACUACAUGCAAUUAUUGUGUCUACCUUCCUUGUUGUUUGUUUCCUGCGCCAAUUAAAAUUCCACUUCACAUCCAACCACCACUUCGGCUUUGAAGCUGCUGCUUGAUACUGACCUUUUGUAGAUGUUGUAUGACUCUUCCUUUACAUAUCUAUCCAUUGAUGAGGCUCAUAGUUCUUUUAGUAUUAAUUAGUGCAACUGACUUCCAAUCAGUUAGUUUCGGUACACUCCGAAAAAGAAUAAUAAACUUAAUACUGACCCUAUUAACAAAUACAACACUGGCCUCAUUACUUGUGCUCAUCGCCUUCUGACUCCCUCAACUAAACACUUAUGCAGAAAAAACAAGCCCUUAGGAACGUGGAUUUGACCCUAUAGGAUCUGCCCGCUUACGAUUUUCCAUAAAAUUUUUCCUAGUAGCAAUCACGUUCCUCCUUUUCGACCUGGAAAUUGCUCUCCUACUGCCCCUCCCCUGAGCAACCCAAACAAACAACCUAAAAACAAUACUCACCAUGGCUCUCCUUUUAAUCUCAGUAUUGGCAAUUAGCCUGGCCUAUGAGUGAACUCAAAAGGGACUGGAGUGAGCUGAAUAUGGUAUUUAGUUUAAAACAAAACAAGUGAUUUCGACUCAUUAGAUUAUGAUUAGGCUCAUAAUUACCAAGUGUCUUUAGUACAUAUAAAUAUUAUCAUAGCUUUCACUAUAUCCCUCAUAGGGUUACUAAUAUAUCGAUCCCGCCUAAUAUUCUCACUACUGGAAGGCUGGGACCUUGGAGAAUGGCUGGGUGAGAAACUGAGCAUGGGGUCUAGGCUAAGCAGUAUGGGAGCUGGCCAGCUCCUGGAGACCCCUGGCACCUGCUCAGGGACCUGGAUCUGCAGGGUCCCCUGUCUGAGGUCAGGGUCGGUACAGCACCACUGUGUGCCAGGGAGAAAGCAAAACUCCAGAUUCCCUGCUUGGUGUGGACAUGGGCAGACCCUCUCCCUGCUGGGGCUGCUUCAGCCUCGGAGUUUCUUGUUGAAACCUAAAAACAGGUUUCUCAAGUUGGUGGUUUUGAUUUGAGAAGAAAAAAACUGAAGUGAUUGCAUUUGCCCUGUGAGUUUCUGAAGACAUUCUUACAAAUCACAGCUGUGAAAGAAGACAACCUAGAGUGACUUGACCUGAAGUCGAACAUUUUGAAGGACAGUUUACUAGAUCUUAAGAGACAGAGGCCCUCUGGCUCUCCUUGGGGCCAGUGCAGCAGAAGCAGGGGCUGGAAAAGCUCCUGGGUUUAUGAGGCACGUAUAACCUUUCUCAGAGGCGGUUACUUCUAUUGUCCCAAUUUGCCGAUGAGACAACGGAGGAUCAGAGGAGUGAGUGACUUGCCCAGGACCAUCCUGCAAGAAAGAGGCAGGGCAGGGAGUGAACGCGGGUGUUCUCAUUCCCCGGGCAAGGCUAUUUGGACUCCAGCAAAGCACUGCUACUGCUGAAACAGCAGUGAGAAAGGAGAAAGCGGAGAAGGAGGAAGAGGGAAAAAAGAAAGAGGGAAGCACAAAAGAAUAGGGGGAAGGGAAAGGAGGAGGAGAAAGUGGAGGAGCAGGAAAGCAGAGGAACGAGAUCAACCCAAUCAGCUGUUAUGGAUGACUUUCUGUUUGUUUUUUCCAUUCCUCAAAUCCCAAAGAAGGUAAUGCAUCGCUGGUCUGAUUGUGUUUCUACAACAACUUGCAGCCCAAGAUGCAGCACAACCUCUGAAAAGCCCAUUGUUCCUUGGAGCGAUAACUAUAACUCUCUGGAAAUGGUGCGGCCCAGUGCACACAGCUCUGCCUGCCCCCACCCCACUGGUGACCUGCUGGGGCAGCUGAAUGCCUUCUGGUCCGCUGAGCCCAGAAGAGUGGGGCUGGGCUUUCAGAAACAGCUGCGCUGAUUCAUCUAGAACAAAAGCCAGCUCUUCCUGCUAAAUCCUUGGCAGGCAAGGGUUGCGAGGCCAGCAGGCCCCUGUGCCCCUCCGCAGAAACUUCUUCUUGAUCCGGCUACAACAGCGUGGGUCUGCUGCAUGAGAGUCAGCUUCCCGCUGCCCCAUCCCUUCAGCCUGGCCUGCUCUUAGCCCCUCCUGGGGGACAGUGGCUUUGGAGUGAAAUCCGGCUUCUCGUCCCAGUCCUGCCAUUUCCCAGCUGUGCAAUGUAAACGAGGGACUUCACUUCUCUGAGCCUCUGUUUCUCCAUCUGUGAUCUGGGAGGGAGAGUAGUUUCGAUCUGAGGAACUGCUGUCAGAUUUGAAGGAGAUAAUGCCCGGAGCAGGCACCUAUGACUAAUUGUCCUCUUGCUGUCUUGUCAUCUUGCUGUCUGGCCUCAUCUUUCAUAACUCAGUCUGGUACCUUGCAUUCCAGACACGAUGGCACAAGCUCACCCUUCUUCAACUCCUCCGUGUCUUUACCUGUAGGCUUCCCGUAAAUGAUACCAGCUUCUGUUUACAGAGGCCCUGCUAUGCCCCAGGUCUUGCAGCAAGCAGUUGACAUGGAUAAUUUCACUUCAUUUUCCCACAACUUUUUGAGGUGGACACAGAUAUCAGAUGAAGAAACUGAAGCACAGAGAGGCAUCUUCCAGGGCCCAGCUCAUCUCCUUCUUUGCAGUCUUCUUGGAGUCUGCUCCCCAGCUUCUCCUCCCGUCCCCACGCUGAGCUUCCUCUUUCUUAGUUCCUAUAACACCCUAUUGUAACUGUCUUGUUUCCUUAGCCACAGACCCUGCAAAGAUUGAGUCUAUGACCGAUUCACUUCUAUGCCCUUCACACCAGGCACAGGGCUUGUACUCAGAAAAGCGCACUCGGCAAUUAUUGACUUGGUACAUUUUACCUUCUGUUGGAGGGAGGUUUACCCAGCUGAACAUGGGACUGCUGCCAGCACCUAAGCUGAGAAUGGACCUCGCAGUCAUCUGCUCUAGUCUCCUGCAGUGUGAAUCCUCCCAACUCGGAGUCACAGAGCAGCUGCAAGAGGCCAGGAUAUCACAUGUGCACAGGACUGUUGGGAGGCUGUCCUAUGCCCUCCUCCAUCGUAAAUCGCUCUCUGUCACAUGCAUGUGAGAUGCUAUUGCUAUAAAUAAAAUAUUA